AUGGAAGGGUACCUGUUGGGGAGGACCAAGAGGAGGGAUCACCUGCUGCUCAUGGACGGCGCCGGCGCAGUGCAGUCGCCGCAGACGCCGGUGGAGCCCAUGGAGUUCCUGUCGCGGUCGUGGAGCGUCUCCGCGUCGGACCUAUCCAAGGUGCUGGCGGUCGGCGGCGGGAGGCGGAGCUCCAACUUCGUCGUCGAUCGCCUCUCCGGGAUGCUCAUGCCGGAGACGCUCGCGCUCGCCGCCGCUUCCGGCACCGGCAGCCCCAAAAAGCGUGUAAGAUCACAGACUUGCAGGAGCAGGAGCGCGAUCUCCGCGCACCACCACACGAUCGGCAGGUGGUUCCACCACAAGGACGGGGGCAGCAGGGUCGACAAGGCCCGUGCCGAGCGGGCGCGCGUCCAUGCGGCGGUCUCCGUGGCCAGCGUGGCUGCCGCGGUCGCUGCCCUCGCGGCGGGAGCCGCGAACCCGGAGGACGGAGAGGACGCUAAGAUGGACGCCGCGCUGGCAUCCGCCACGCAACUUCUGGCCUCGCACUGCAUCGAGUUUGCCGAGCUCGCCGGGGCAGACCACGACCAGGUGGCCUCCGCCGUCGAGGGCGCCGUCGACGUCCGGAGCCCCGGCGAUCUCCUGACCCUCACCGCCGCCGCUGCAACAGCUCUACGAGGAGCCACGGCGCUGAGGCUGAGAGAGCAGCGGGAGGCGAGGAGCAAAGCGGCGGUGGCGCCCUCCGAGAAGGCCGGCAGCUGCGGCGCGGACAUAUGGUGCAAGGAAGGGACGCUCCUCAAGCGCAGCCGGAAAGGCGGCGCUCUGCGCUGGAAGCGAGUGUCCGUGUACAUCAACAAGAGGUCGCAGGUGAUCGUGAAGCUCAAGAGCAAGCACAUCGGCGGCGCCUUCUCCAAGAAGAAGAGGAGCGUCGUGUACGGCGUGCACGGCGACAUGCCGGCGUGGCCGCCGGGGCACAAGCCCUGCGGCAUGCCGGACUCUGCGACAGCGGCGCCGGAGAACCGCCACUUCGGGUUGAGGACGGCGCAGGGCCUGGUCGAGUUCGAGUGCGAGAGCAGGAUGCACAAGCAGGAGUGGGUGGAGUCGGUGAAGAACCUGCUCCGGCAGGCGGCCGGCGGCACUGCUCAGCUCGAGCACUCGUUCGAGUCGCUCAGGCUUAGCGCGUCGUAA
rnacentral:rRNA from 1 species